UGCGGAAGGAUCAUUGU
rnacentral:rRNA from 5 species